GACGAACCGAGCGAACGUUGUUCGGAAUUACUGGGCGUAAAGGGCGCGUAGGCGGCCUGUUAAGUCGAACGUGAAAUCCCCGGGCUCAACCCGGGAACUGCGUCCGAUACUGGCAGGCUUGAAUUCGGGAGAGGGAUGCGGAAUUCCAGGUGUAGCGGUGAAAUGCGUAGAUAUCUGGAGGAACACCGGUGGCGAAGGCGGCAUCCUGGACCGAGAUUGACGCUGAGGCGCGAAAGCCAGGGGAGCAAACGGG
rnacentral:rRNA from 1 species